CAACCCAGGCGGUCUGGCUCUCCAGCCUGGACGUUUAACCACAAAGCUGCGGCUGCCUCACUUAGCCAAACAUUGGGAAUGUCUCUUAUCCAGUGGCUAAACAUUCAAGUGAUUUAUACUUAGUGAUACGUAAGUUGGUUACCAAGGUUGCAUUACAGAAUCAAGGACUCAGAGUGAGAAGGAACUCUAGAAGCAUGUGCGGUACGAACGUGGUCUUCAGCUCUGCAGAGCUGACAUGGUUAACUUAGAAAUUCACGUGUGAUGUCCAAGCUUGGAUGCUUGCUUUGGAAAUAUGGCAUAUUUGUGGGCUCUUGGCAUCUAUGAUUUUUCUUCCAAAGCUCCUUGGUGACCAAAUUCAUGGCUUCCUCUCCUUGAGUCAAUUUCUAAACAAGGUCCAGGCUCUCAGACCCCUGCUAGGAUGAAUCAUAGAAAGGGCCUACAGUGACACUCCAUUAGCAAAAAGCACACCUAGUGCUCAGGAACCAAGGCUCCUCGGGGAAAUGGCUGAUUCCAGGGCUUGAAGAGGAAGAAUACCAAAUGAAUCUGGACUGUCUUGUGCCAGAAAGAGGUGAAACUUACUUCUCCUCCCCUUGAAUGUGGGCUGGACUUAAGGACUCACUUCUAAUAAAUAGUGAAUGGAAAGAGAAAAUGAUAACUUUACAGUGGAGAAAGCUGGCAGACGCCAGCAUAAUCAGAAGAUCAAGGUUAACAUCACCAGUGAUGAGUCAUGUUGAUGGCAUGCAUGCCCUGAGAUGACGCAGUGAGAAAGGGGCUUUACUUUAGUGACGUUCUUCUCAAAGACCCAUAACCUCAGUCUAAAAAUGAGAAACAUCAGGCAAAUUCAAACCGAGGGACAUUUACAAAAUACCUGUUCACAGCUUAAUGAAUGGUGUGUCAGUUGGCCCCCGGGAUCUGAACCUGCAAACCCCAGGACACUGCAGUGGAACACAAGAACUUAACCACAACACCACCAGGCUGGCCCCUCAUUGUUUUUCAAAUGUCUAUAGAUCUGCAGUGAUGUCUCUUACAUUUUGGAUUUUUGUAAUUUAUGUCUUCUUUUUUUUUGGUCAGUUUGGGUUAAGGUUUAUCAAUUGUAUUGAUCUUUUCACUAAUUUUCUGUUUUGUCUUCCUGUAUUCGAUUUUAUUGAUUUCUGUUCUUUAUUAUUUCUUUCUUUCUACUUUGAGUUUAAUUUGCUCUUCAUUUUCUGGUUUCUUAAGAUAAAGCUUAGGUUAUUGAUUGGAGACGUUUUUUCUUGUCUAAGAUAAGCCUUUACUGCUAUAAAUUUCCCUGUAAACACUGCUUUAACCACAUCCCAGAAACUGAAAGGUGUAUUUUUAUUUUCAUUCAGUUAAACAUAUUUUCUAAUUUCUCUUAAGAGUCCCUCUUUGCCCAUGGGCUAUUCACAGGUAUAGUGUUUAUUUCCAAAUCUUUGGUGAUUUUCCAGACAUCCGUUUUUGAUUUCUAGUUUAAUUCUGUUAUGGUCAUGGAACAUAUUUUAUAUGAUUAAAAUUCUUUUAAAUUUAUUAAGAUUGGUUUUUAUGGCCCAGAAUAUGGAUGUUUUUUAGUAUAAAUAUUUCACAUGCAGUUGAAAAGAAUGUCUCUUCUGCUGUUGUUGGGGGAGCGUUCCAUAAAUAUAGUUGGAACUGGAGGAGUUCAGGUCCGAUAUCCUUGCUGAUCUUCUAUCUUCUCGUUUUAUUGUUUAUUGAGAGAGGAAUAUUGAAAUCUCCAACUAGAAUUUUGAAUUUACUAUUUCUCCUUUCAGUUCCAUCAGGUUUCCUUCAUGUGUUUUGAAGCUCUUGUAUUAGUUUUCCUUGGUUGCAUAACAAAUUACCCCAAAUUUAACAGCUGAAAACAGCACCUGUUUAUUCUUUACCAGUUUCUGUGGGUCAGGAGUCCAGGCACAGUUUAACUGUGUCCUCUGCUUAGGUCUCACAAGGCUGCAAUCAAGGUGCUAGACAUGGCAGUGAUAACAUCUGAGGCUCGAGGUCCUCUUCCAAGAUCACUUAGGUUGUUGGCAUAAUUUAGUUCCCUGAUGUCAUAUACCUGAGGUCCCAGCUUUCUUGUUGGCUACAAAUGAGGGAUUCCUCUCAGGUCCCACAGG
rnacentral:lncRNA from 1 species